CUUUGUGGUGAUGACUACUUUGUAAAUUCUUGAUAGGAAGAGUAUGAAACAUAAUGAGUACUAAACAAAUGUUCUGAUUAACUAAA
rfam:Drosophila ananassae strain TSC#14024-0371.13 Ctg01_19186, whole genome shotgun sequence.